GCCCAAGACAUCUAGCCUCGCCACACCCACAAGGGUACUCAGCAGUGAUUAAUAUUAAAAAUAAACGUAAGUUUGAUUUAGUUAAUGAAAACAGGGCCGGCAAAUAUGGUGCCAGCCGCCGCGGUUACACCACUCAGGCUCAAAUUGAUUUACUUCGGCGUAAAGCGUGAUUAAAGAAAUAUCUACUGAGGUUAAAUUCAAACUAAGCCGUAAAAUGCUUGUUACCAAGAAACCCACUCGAAAGACACCUCAACCCACCAACUUGAAUUCACGACAGCUAGGACACAAACUGAGAUUAGAUACCUCACUAUGCCUAACCGUAAACUUUAAAUUACCCCCACCCACCGCCAGGGAACUACGAGCAAAGCUUAAAACCCAAAGGACUUGACGGUACCCCACAUCCCCCUAGAGGAGCCUGUCCUGUAACCGAUAAUCCCCGUUAAACCUCACCAUUUUUUGUCUUUCAGCCUGUAUACUUCCGUCUCCAGCUCACCGCGUGAGCGAAACUUAGUGAGUUCAAUGGCCACCACCAAUACGUCAGGUCAAAGUGCAGCAAAUAGAAUGGAAAGAGAUGGGCUACACUUUCUACCAUAGAAAACACGAAAGAUCACAUGAAACUGGGAUCAGAAGGUGGAUUUAGCAGUAAAACGAAAUUAGAAUAUUCCUUUUAACCCGGCACUGGGGUGUGUACACACCGCCCGUCACCCUCUU
rnacentral:rRNA from 1 species